rnacentral:lncRNA from 1 species
GGUGCUUGAGGCAACAUUCUAUAUAAAAUAAAAUACCACUUAGAAAAAGGCAAAUUAUAUUUGUUGGACGCCGCAUGGAAAAAGGCCCAUAUACAAAAAAAUGAUGCUUGAAGCAACAUUUUAUAUAAAAUAAAAUACCACUUGGAAAAAAGCAACAUUUCUAAAAAAAAAAAAAUUGUGCUUGAGGUAGUAUUUUUUACAAAAAGUGGUACGAAUAAGAGAUAUCUCAAGUUCCAUCGAAAGAACAAUUUCUUGAGAACAAGAAGUGGUGAAUGAGAGAUCCUUGAAGUAUUCUUAAUAAGUUGACUUUCAUGAGACUAAGAUAUCUCUGCAACAUGCAAUUGGAUUUUAUACUUGAGAUCACCAAACCAAUUUACACGAAUAGUUAAUAAUACAGUAAACCUUAAUUUUACAAGAAUAGUUAACAAUAUAGUAAACUUUAAUUACCAGUAAUUUUGAAUGCAACUUCUCCAAUAAUCUUCAAACAUGAGGAGCAUGAUUAUUACCUGAAUCUGUUACAAACAUAUAUGCAAUAAUAACUUGUGCAGAAAACAUCAACUUGACAUAGCUUUCAAAAAAAUAUCAAAAUGAAAAGAAAUGUGAAAAUGUUUAUGUAGAAAACCAAUCCAUGCCAAGAAAAUAAUGAGCAGCUUAUUCGUCAAAUUUUUUACAAAUAUCCAAUAAAUACAUUGAAGGAUCCAAAAUAAAACUUGGCAAGAAUUACCAAUUUCUCAAGAUAUUUAUGAAAAAUCACUAAAAAAUAACAGUUGAACUCCAUUGCAGCAAUAUUUUUAGGUUAAACUCACUAAGAACAUUGUACAAGUUCUUGGAAAUCUCUAAGCCUUGACACAAAACAAAUACCCCUUAAUAAUUGCAUGCCAAUAAAUUCAUUAUUCAAAAGAAAACACCCCAAAGGCAUUCAAUAAACACUAAAAAUUCACACUUCUCAAAAGUUUAACUCAUAAUUUCUAGGGAUUUUUCUGAAAAAUCCCUCUCAAAAUCGUGAUAUUCCAAUGAACUUAAAUUCAAUACAAAUAACUCCAUAAUAUUCCAGUGCAGCAAGAAGUAUUUUUUAAAACCAAAUGACUAAUUAGCCUUAAACUCACAAUUAAAAUUUUAUGAUGCCAUUAAUUAAUGGAUCACUUGGAAAAAUCUCUAUGUAUCACCUAGAACCUACUAGCAAUCAAUCAGUCAUAACUGAUUACAACGUCAAAGCAACAUUAUAUAAUGCAUAUGAAACAUGGCAUACCAACUUUACUAACACUACGAUUAUGCAUUGACAAAGGGUGAAGAAAAAAAGUGCAACAGGGAUGAUUCCAUUAUCAAGUGAAUUUCUUAAAUCUUAUUCGAAUGUGAGACAAAACAGAAUAAUCCUAGAAGCUGUGUAGCAACAUUUUCUGGGAAAUAGAAGUAAAAUUUAGGAAUUGAGUGCACACAAAAUAAGGUAUUUUUAUUUUGAAAAAUCCCACUCAAAAUCGUGAUAUUACAGUGCAGCAAGUUUUAUUCAAUACAAAUAACUCCAGAAGUUUUUGAAAAUCAGUCCUGAUGGAGCCCAGCAAAAUCGUACCUUCUACACCCAAAGAAUUGAUUUGGAUAUUUAGAGUGAAAUAUACUUUCUACACCGAAUAGAGAUAAAAAAAAUGUAAAAAAAAAUAAUUUUAGAGAGAAAAUAAUUUGGACAACCAUUAUAAUGAUAAACAAAAUGUGAGCUUCCACCAACUCAGUAGCCAUGGCAAAGAAAAGAUGAGUAAGAGAGACAUGAAUUUGGGCAACCAUUCAACUAGUGGAAUAAAAGUGGAAUUGAGAAACCAUCGGAGUGAUAAAAUAGAAGGAUUUAGAGGGAGAAACUAAAAAGAAAUUGGGUAAAUAAUAGAGAAACAACUAUAGCGAUAAGGUUUGAAAAGUGCUGAAAAAUCGCAUCUUCUAUACCAAAAGCCUGACUUGCACCUUCUACACUAAAACAACAGCAAAUGCCCUCCAUCAGAGUUAGUUUGGAUUUCUUGAGCAAUAUUGAUUUGGUUAUUGGGAGCUGAGUUUGAUGGGUUUUUCUUUGGGGAGCAAUAAAAGAGAUGGAGGAAGAAAAUGAAGGGAGAGAAAGCUUGGAGAGGGAAAAAGAGAGAGAGAAGAUAAGGGGAGAGAUGGGGUGAGGAAAUAAGAGGAGGGAGGGACAGGAGGAGAGUGAAACGGUGAAGGGAGAGAGAGCGUGCUAGUAGAGAGAGCGUUUAGGUAGAGAGAGAUGGGAGAUGAAGAGACAGAGGUGGGAGAAAAGAGCGGGAGUAGAACAAAGUUUUGGGGUUUUCAAAUCCCAUUAUAAAAUGAGUGUAAUCUCAACGGAUUGCUCAAGAUUCUAAUGACUACAAUUUUGCCAACUGUCUGUUUUAUCAUAGUAUGAUGCAACGGUUGCAUAAGAUUAUUUUUCAUUGUAUUAUUAUAAAAGAGAUGAUCAAAUGAGACCCUCUCCCACCUAUAUGUAGGAUUCGAAAUGAUCACCUUUAAAUUUGGCAUGGAUUUAUAAAAAAAUCAAAUCCCACACUCAAGUGAUAACUUUUUUAGAGAUCCGUAUCAAUUUUAAUGGUAAUCCUUUGAAGUCCUAUACACAUGGGUAGAAGAAGGCCUUAUAGGAUUAUUACUCUUAUUAUAAUAUCAAAUUAUUUAUUAUUCAUUAAGAAAAACGAUAUAUCAAUUUAAAAAAUUUCUAGUUAUAAUUGAAAGCUUUAAGCUAAAUGGUAACUAAUUCAAAAAUAUUUAACCCACCCAUAAGCGAUCAUUUUAUGUACAUGAUUUGCACAUUUAUCAAAUGCAUUCUAGAAUAAAAUGAAAAUAUAAAGUUAAUCUCAAUUUAAAAUUGAAAAAUAGCAAAUAAAUAUAGAUAGAUAACAAUAAUGAUUUCAAUUUAAAAUUCAAAAACAUAAGGAUAAAAGGAAUAUAUAAAAUGAAUUUAAAUUAAAAUUGAAAAAAAACAAGUAAACAGAGAUGGAAAACAACCAUUAAUGAUAUCAUUUCAAAUUUUAUUUUCUAAACGAUUAUCCUUGCACUAAGCCACCACAAUAAAAUUACCACAAUAAAAUUACUAAAACGUGAAAUUUAAAAGCUCAAACAUAUGACCACACACCUAAGCAAUAGCAUAUAAAUCAAUUAUUACAAAAUAACGUAAUGCAAUAUGGAAAAAAAAAUAGUGAUUCUUCUAUUGUAGAUCCUAGCUAAAAUUACACAACAAAAUCAAAAUAAAAAAUUAUACAAGAUAAGUAUGAUAGUAAUGAAAAAUCAUUUAAAUUAAUUUACCUCUUCAAUCUCCUCCAAUGCCCCAACAUAAUUUCUCCUUCAAUACAUCUCAUUUAAUCAUAAAGCCUUCUAGCUUACUAGCAAAAUUUAUCUGAACUUCGUUUUGU